AUCCAAGAGCUUUGUCAUGGAAAAUCACAUCCACUAUUUAUUUAUUUAUUUUGAAUACUUCAGGGACUUUUAGUCUCGCUUUUCAACUAGGGAGUGAAACAAGAUCAUUUCAUUCCAUUUUGGUGAAAUAGUGAAAGGUACUCCUUUAUAUCAAAACGUGUGUAAAUAAACCCCCUAUUUGCUUGUGUUGAUUUCAUGCAUCCAUUUCGGCAACUUCUGUAACAAGAAAUAGAAUCACCUGCUCACAGACUGAAUGGAUUGAAAUAUUCUCAGCUUAGUGCUUAUAUGGUGUCAUUCUCACUGGAUCUAACUUAGGUUUUUUUUACCCUUCUUUAUUGCUUGUGCUGAUUUUACUUAUCCCCUGGGCAACUUCCGUAACAAGAAAUAGAAUCACCUCAUGCCCAGACUGAAUGGAUUGAAAUAUUCUCAACUUAUUGCUUAUUUGUUGUCAUUCUCACUGGACCUAACUUGGGUUUUUUGACUCUUGUUCUCCAGGAUGCAUGGCAGCCCUAGAUGCAGAACAUUACCUGCAAGAAAUUGGUGCUCAAGAGGGCAAGAGUGAUUGAACAAUGAAGCUCUUCAAGUGGAAUAACUUUGAAUUAUUGUCAGUUCCUUUAAAGUUUAUAAAUUAUAAACACGUGAGUGAAAGUGGUUUUUUUUUUUUUAUUGGUCAAUCUUCAUCUUUAUUGAUAUGACAGAUGAAGAAAGGGAAUUGUUUAUGACAUUCUUUGGGUCUAUCACCCAAGAUUGAUUUGUGAAUUGCUUUUGUGUCUCGACUCUUACAUAUUCUUUCGAGUUUGAUCUUAUUAGGAUGUAACGCUUAUGUCAUUUCCUUCUUUUUUCAAAAAUGUUGAUACCGUUUGCGGUAAAUUUUGGAAUGGCACCAUGACAUUCUUUAUCAAUUUUGUUUCAUUCUUCUUUUAAUGCUGAUACGGC
rnacentral:lncRNA from 1 species